UACCCUGAACGGUGGAUCACUUGGCUCGUGGGUCGAUGAAGAACGCAGCUAAUUGCGCGUCAACUUGCGAACUGCAGGACACAUGAACAUCGACAUUUCGAACGCAUCUAGA
rnacentral:rRNA from 2 species